AUGAACGCUGGCGGCGUGCCUCAUACAUGCCAGUCGAGCGAACAGACGAGGAGCUUGCUCCUCUGACGUUAGCGGCGGACGGGUGAGUAACACGUGGAUAACCUACCUAUAAGACUGGGAUAACUUCGGGAAACCGGAGCUAAUACCGGAUAAUAUAUUGAACCGCAUGGUUCAAUGGUGAAAGACGGUUUUGCUGUCACUUAUAGAUGGAUCCGCGCCGCAUUAGCUAGUUGGUAAGGUAACGGCUUACCAAGGCAACGAUGCGUAGCCGACCUGAGAGGGUGAUCGGCCACACUGGAACUGAGACACGGUCCAGACUCCUACGGGAGGCAGCAGUAGGGAAUCUUCCGCAAUGGGCGAAAGCCUGACGGAGCAACGCCGCGUGAGUGAUGAAGGUCUUCGGAUCGUAAAACUCUGUUAUUAGGGAAGAACAAAUGUGUAAGUAACUAUGCACGUCUUGACGGUACCUAAUCAGAAAGCCACGGCUAACUACGUG
rnacentral:rRNA from 1 species